ensembl:ncRNA F33G12.9 ncRNA
CAGCAUUUUCUCUUCUAGUUUUGGUGUUGUAGAGAGAUGGUGGGUGACACCAUCAUGAAGAUACGCAGAGAUCCAAAUAAAAAAGAGAGAAAACGGGCGGUCACUCGGGGACGGAGAGCUCCACGACUUCGAUGCUAUAUUUCUG